GUGAAUCAUCAAAUCUUUGAACGCAAAUUGCGCCUUUUUCGGACGGCAUGUCUGUUUGAGGGCAACAUUUAACAAAUAUUGUGCAUGGUGUGUGUUUUUUUAUGUAAACGUGCACACGUUGAUGCGCUUUUACAAAAAAAGAAAAUUUUUUGGAGGCACGUAAUGAACAGCGUGAGCUUUAAUCCAAUUUUUUCG
rnacentral:misc_RNA from 1 species